GGAGAUUUCAGCGGGCGUGCCAUCCCGUGACCAAACAAUGGCAACAAUGGCAACAAUGGCAUCUGGAGGAGACCCGCUGCGAUGGCCGCCCCUGGGUAUCUGGAAGGAGUUGGAGCGAGACCAUCUGCAGCUGGAGGAGAUAGAGGAGAUAGUCUGGUCAGCCACCAAGAAGGACACGAGGGCAAGAGGAGGUCCUACAAACCCUCCGCAACGGAAGGACACGAGGGCAAGAGGAGGUCCUACAAACCCUCCGCAACGGAAGGUACUGGUGGC